rnacentral:rRNA from 1 species
GGGUCAGUAGGCUGGUCGUGCCACCGGUACUGACUGGUCUCACUGAUUCCUCCUUCCUGAAGAACCGUAAUGCCAUUAAUUUGGUGUUGCGGGGAAACAGGACUGUUACUUUGAAAAAAUUAGAGUGUUUAAAGCAAGCCAACGCUUGAAUACAUUAGCAUGGAAUAAUGAAAUAGGACGAUCGAUCCUAUUUUGUUGGUUUCUAGGAUUGACGUA